GACGUAGGGAGCGAGCGUUGUCCGGAUUCAUUGGGCGUAAAGCGCGCGUAGGCGGCCUCGCAAGUCGGUUGUGAAAUCCCGGGGCUCAACCCCGGGACUGCGUCCGAUACUGCGAGGCUGGAGGUAGGUAGGGGAGAUCGGAAUUCCUGGUGUAGCGGUGAAAUGCGUAGAGAUCAUGAGGAAGACCAGUGGCGAAGGCGGGUCUCUGGACAGUUCCUGACACUGAGGCACGAAGGCCAGGGGAGCAAACGGG
rnacentral:rRNA from 1 species